rnacentral:tRNA from 2 species
GCCCACGUAGCUCAGUCGGUAGAGCACAUUCUUGGUAAGAAUGGGGUCACCAGUUCAAGUCUGGUCGUGGGCUCCA